CAGUCGCCACGGUAAUACAGAGGGUGCAAGCGUUAAUCGGAAUUACUGGGCGUAAAGCGCACGCAGGCGGUUGGUUAAGUCAGAUGUGAAAGCCCCGGGCUCAACCUGGGAAUUGCAUUUGAAACUGGCCAACUAGAGUAUGUGAGAGGGGGGUAGAAUUCCAAGUGUAGCGGUGAAAUGCGUAGAGAUUUGGAGGAAUACCAGUGGCGAAGGCGGCCCCCUGGCACAAUACUGACGCUCAGGUGCGAAAGCGUGGGGAGCAAACAGGAUUAGAUACCCGCGUAGUCCCUGUCUCUUAUAC
rnacentral:rRNA from 1 species